rnacentral:misc_RNA from 1 species
GAUGAAGAACGCAGCGAAAUGCGAUAAGUAAUGUGAAUUGCAGAAUUCAGUGAAUCAUCGAAUCUUUGAACGCACAUUGCGCCCCUGGUAUUCCGGGGGGCAUGCCUGUCCGAGCGUCAUUACAACCCUCAAGCUCAGCUUGGUGUUGGGCCCCGCCGCCCCGGCGGGCCCUAAAGUCAGUGGCGGUGCCGUCCGGCUCCGAGCGUAGUAAUUCUUCUCGCUCUGGAGGUCCGGUCGUGUGCUCGCCAGCAACCCCCAAUUUUUUUCAGGUUGACCUCGGAUCAGGUAGGGAUACCCGCUGAACUUAAGCAUAUCAAUAAGCGGAGGA